ACUCGUUAGCGUCACAGUCAGUCUGUGGAGCCUGAGGGAAGAAACAGGAGAACAUGUCUGCACUCCACAGAAAAAUCAUUCACACGACGUCGGCUCCGGCCGCCAUCGGUCCGUACAGCCAGGCGGUGGUUGUGGACAGAACCGUGUACAUCUCUGGUCAGCUGGGCCUGGACGUGUCCUCUGGGCAGCUGGUAGAGGGAGGAGUGCAGGCUCAGGCCAAACAGGCUCUCGUUAACAUGGGGGAGAUCCUCAAAGCUGCCGGCUGCAACUACAGCAAUGUGGUGAAGACAACUGUGCUGCUCGCAGAUAUAAAUGACUUCAACAGUGUCAAUGAGGUCUACAAGACAUCGCAGGCAGGUGUAAUAGACACUGCAGGGCCCGGUGAGCUGUAAAUGGAUACUGCCGUGCAGGCAAACAGGUGUAACCCAACUCGGUGUGGUUCAGGCCCGACUUCGGUAAAGGCCCAAGCUGCCGGGCUACAAUCAGCGCUAAACCGCAAGAAACUUUCCCUGCACAGGAGAAGAAGAAGGGGCAGGACGUGUGUGACCUGGAGCCAUGUAAACCUAUUUCAUGCUUAAGACUCAUGCUAAUAAAUCUUGGGGGAUGUACAGGAACUAACAGACAGGGAAAUGACAUAACAUGGACAAUUAAGGACAACACUAUAAUGUAUAUGUUUUAUCUCUAGUUUUCAGCAGUAACUUUCCUGCCAGAGCUGCCUACCAAGUCGCUGCUCUCCCCAGAGGCGGACUGGUGGAAAUUGAGGCUGUUGCUGUUGCUGGUCCUCUGUUGGACUCCUGACUGACCGACGGCAUCCCAAACAAGUUGUAGUCCACCCGUCAGACGCUCUCAGAUUCAACAGCAUUUGAUUAAACGGCAGUUUCUCUCUUGACAUAAACGA